rnacentral:rRNA from 1 species
UUUAUUGGAGAGUUUGAUCCUGGCUCAGGAUGAACGCUGGCGGCGUGCCUAAUACAUGCAAGUCGAGCGAAUGGAUUAAGAGCUUGCUCUUAUGAAGUUAGCGGCGGACGGGUGAGUAACACGUGGGUAACCUGCCCAUAAGACUGGGAUAACUCCGGGAAACCGGGGCUAAUACCGGAUAACAUUUUGAACCGCAUGGUUCGAAAUUGAAAGGCGGCUUCGGCUGUCACUUAUGGAUGGACCCGCGUCGCAUUAGCUAGUUGGUGAGGUAACGGCUCACCAAGGCAACGAUGCGUAGCCGACCUGAGAGGGUGAUCGGCCACACUGGGACUGAGACACGGCCCAGACUCCUACGGGAGGCAGCAGUAGGGAAUCU